rnacentral:rRNA from 1 species
AUUGAACGCUGGCGGAAUGCCUUACACAUGCAAGUCGAGCGGCAGCGCGGGGGCAACCCUGGCGGCGAGCGGCGAACGGGUGAGUAAUACAUCGGAACGUGUCCUUAAGUGGGGGAUAGCUCGGCGAAAGCCGGAUUAAUACCGCAUAAGCUCUGAGGAGGAAAGCGGGGGCUCCGUAAGGACCUCGCGCUGUUGGAGCGGCCGAUGUCGGAUUAGCUUAGUUGGUGGGGUAAAGGCCCACCAAGGCGACGAUCCGUAGCUGGUCUGAGAGGAUGAUCAGCCACACUGGAACUGAGACACGGUCCAGACUCCUACGGGAGGCAGCAGUGGGGAAUUUUGGACAAUGGGGGCAACCCUGAUCCAGCCAUUCCGCGUGAGUGAAGAAGG